GUUGGCCAAGACCGGCAGCUCCCACGGGGACCCCAGAUCCCGGCCCUGGAGAGCCCCUGUGAGAGCGGGUGUGGGGACACGGAGGAGGACCCCAGCUGCCCGCAGCUCCCUUCCAGAGACUCUCCGAGGUGCCUCAUGCUGGCCUUGUCGCAAAGCCCCACCAGUGACCCUCCUUUUGGCAAGAAGAACUGCGAGCAGACCUUGGCAGUGGAGCUGUGUGGCACGGCAGGACUCACCCCGCCCACCACGCCUCCGUACAAGCCCGCGGAUGAGGAGCCCUUCAAGCCGGACGUCAAGCACAGCCCGGGCCGAGA
rnacentral:lncRNA from 1 species